rnacentral:misc_RNA from 1 species
UUUCCGUAGGUGAACCUGCGGAAGGAUCAUUACAGUAGUCACCCAGGUUGCCGCAAGGCCUCCUGGGUAACCUACCACCCUUUGUUUAUUACACUUUGUUGCUUUGGCAAGCCUGCCCUCGGGCUGCUGGCCCCGGCCGGCGAGCGCUUGCCAGAGGACCCAAACUCUGUUUGUCUAUACUGUCUGAGUACUAUAUAAUAGUUAAAACUUUCAACAACGGAUCUCUUGGUUCUG